AGCACGUCACUUUGCUGAGAGGUAUUCAGAUAAGACCAAGGUCAGUCGGAAAAGAAAGGAGCCAACAAUUUUCACAUGGAACUCAUUUGCCAAUAUAGAAGCAAGGAGAUUAUUCCAGUUGUCCACAAACAUGUUAUUCCAUCCAAACAAAGCAAGACGACAAGGCAGUGACUCUUUAACUGCCGUUUAUGAGAUUGGAUUCGCCCCCAACAAAGAUAUCAACCUCGUGUUCGACAUCACCCGCACCCAUGUCAAGAUUAAAAUUGUCUCGCUUGCUGAAGUUUGUCUUAUAGUUAAUUUGCAGGGUUGACAUUUGAUUUGGUUUAAAUGUAAUGUUUGCAUUGGGUUGUAAUAUUCUACAUCAAAACGUGUAUCAAAUGAAGUACAGCGUGUAACGAGUGUUUUAUUCAUGGAACUUCUGGUAAAAAUGGACUAAAUCCAAGCGUCAACCCUGCACGUCACUAGUUUAUUACUUGAGAUAUGUUACUAAGUUGUAGCACACCUCUCUACUCACAUCCGAUGAUUUUAUUGUAAUUUGUUUAUAUUUUUGUUUAUACCUAAACGAACCUGAAACGACACUUUUGGGGUGUUCUUCAAACAGAAAUGACGUCGUUGAAAUCUUUUUCUUGCUGAAAAGAUGCAUAAAAACGAAAAAUUGUAAAAAAUAUUGUAGAAUUAUCACUUUAGGUGAUGGCCAGGUAGAACACUAUGAUGGCACGACUGGUUUUCUGUUUGACUGUAAAAUAUGUGUGGACAAAUAUGUAAUAAGACAAUUUGUUGUGCACUGGUAAAUGCAUGUUUAUUCAUAUCAAAUUGGAUACAAAUAUUUAUUUUGAUGAAGUUAACUUUUGAAAAGGAAAAAACUCCAUUACGUGAAAUGCAUACAGGAAUCUUUUAUUGUGGUUUCAUUUAAAGAAGUGAGCAAGAUGUAAAUAUUCAAUAAACUGUUAACGCUGUAAUAAAAAUUAUUACACUUAAAAAAAACAACAGCAGUAUGAAAUUGUAAAAUUUGCUCAAGUAAUUGCAGAAAUGUCCACACGUAUUGAAACGGAUUUUUAUAAAAUUGUGAAUAUGCUGUUAUGACGCAUGCUAAGAAUGAAUGGUUUCCGGUGUUUUGAUAUAGUUUGUCUGAUCAGUAAUACAUGCGUAGUUUUAUUGCUGGGAUGGGGUAGAAAUGUUUGUUUUCAUAAAAUCAAACGAGGGGUUGGGGCAGUUUUUUUGAAAUCAUUACAGAAGGAAAACUGACCUUUCGCCUGCAAAACAAAGAGGAAAUGUUUAAUGUUCACAAAGAAAAAAAUGGAUUGUAGAAACAUUUUCCUUUUGGCAUCUUUUGUCAAUAAAAAUGUAGGGCCUUACAUGUAGGAUUGGCAUUUAUCGCAUCCUUAUGCAACUCAAAAUUUUGAGAAAUUCUCAUCAAAUUCGUAUCGACAACUAGUUGUCGCGUGUUUCUUUUUAUGUUGUUCUUGUACCUGGUACUUUCUUAAUUCUAUUUUUCGGUCGGUAUCAAGGGGUGAUUGCGAAGAUUAUGGAAGAUUAGAUGCCAGUCCUGCACGUUCUGUUGGAUUAUUUUUGCUGAAUGUUUCUUGAUCACUGAACACCGUUGAUGUUUAUUAGCAUUUUCUGAGUAAAUGUGCUUAGUUACUUUAGGUAAACUAUUUUUUUCCAUAACCUUUUCAAUUUUAUUUAGAUAUUAUUAUAAUUUUUUAAAAAAUCACUAUGCCUGGGAUAAAGUUGUAAACUUACUUUGUCUUCAUGCUGUUCUUGAUUUGCACGACGCGUAAAUUUAAGUGUUCACUCAAAAUUGUGCCACCUAAAUCCUAUUUUAAGAUUUAAAGAGGGCAAAAAUGAUGAAAAAUAUGAGGUUCAUAUUCAUUUAUCUAUGAGAAAUGCAUUCAUCAAAUUACAGAACUGAAUAACAUUUGACUGCUGUUUUGUGUUGUGCAAUCAUCAGCAUGGCGACAUAGAGUAAGGUGUGGUGUCGUGAGUGUGUACCCGCGUGGAAGGGAUAACGUUUACAGGCAAUUUCAAAGGGGGGAGAGGAGUCUUUUUCUGAAAAAUGGACCUUUUACCAUUAAAUCCUCAUGUACCUGGAUUAAAUUUUACCCAGCAAAAAGGGUGGUUCUUUUGA
rnacentral:lncRNA from 1 species